CAGGUCCUGCUUGGAAUGACUUUACAGCAGAGGAGAGGGUAACAUAUCUUCAUUGUUUAUGAAAAUGACAGCUCCUAAUGGACCAUAUUAGCUUUAACACAAACUAUUAAAUCCCCUUCAUUAAAUUUUUCUGCAUUCGGUUUCAGCGUGUCUCAUUAGCUCUGGGAAGUAGGUGCAAAGUCCGAGGGAAACGCAAGCACACAUUGAGACGAUUACGGAUCAUGGUUAUUAGCGUGGUGAUUCUCGUUGGCCAGGCUUCCUUUCCAACCGAGUGAACGCACUUUUCGAGUGGGCACUAAUGUGUAAACGGCAAAGAGGAGGCUUCGCGCUCCUGCCCACGCACCCAGCUGCACCCGGAGAGCUCGCCUCUCUCCCACCCUGCAGCACCGCUGCUCCGCCACGGGGGAGACUAAUGGAGCAGACUGAGCAC
rnacentral:lncRNA from 1 species